UGGCAGCCUAGGGCUACGGAAACCAGCAC
rnacentral:piRNA from 1 species